GGAAGGCCUCAAGGAAGAUCUGGGAGGGAGUCACCCAGGCAUGUUCUGGUGGGGUAAAGAAGGGUCACUUUCACUACAGGCAUAAGGGAGAGAGGAUGGGUUUGUGGUUACCAGGGCCUCUGAGGGGAAGGACACACUCUCCCUCUUUCCUCUCACCCCCCAUCCCACCCCCAGCCCCCAUUGCGCUAGAAAAGAAAGGUAGAGAUGCUGGGUAGUUCCCAGGCACUAUGCAGGCGGUGGGCUCAAAAUACUGGGGCACAAAGAGGAGAUGGACACAAGGGCCUAGUGGGCUGGGGUCACAGGAGUGUGGGAUGGGGUAUGCCCAGAUGUCAGGGACUGUUGGGAUCACAGGGGUUGCAUGGGCGGGGUUUGGAGGCGGGGUCAGCAGGGCCUUUGAGGAGGAGCAGAGGGAAGGUCAACAGGGCACUGGCUAGGUAGGGCGCGUCCUGACGGGAUGAGGGUCCCCGGGGCCUGUCUGGGCGUGCUCCCCCCGGGACCUCUAGUCACUGCACCUGCUUGGCGAGGACGUGUCUCAGCCCAUGGCGGGUCCGGGAGCUCCGUCGCGGCCUCCCCGGCGGCGCCUCACUGGCCGGCCUGUCGCGGCGCCCGCCUUACGCAGGGGCCCGCGCUCGGCGACAUCGCCUCCCGGGGACUUGCCGGGCUCCGCUCGCCUUCCCCGCGCUGCCGCCUCGACCGCUGCGCCCGCCGGAGCCCACCGACCUCGGCCGCUGCCUCCGGGUCCGCGGGUCCGGCGUGGAGCGAUGUGGGGAGCAGGAGGCACCGCGAUCCGAGCGGAGGGAGCGGCGUGGGGGCAGCGAGCACCGCGCGCGCGCCCGUCCCCGCCGCCGGAGCCUCAGGGCGCGUGCGCGCGGCGGGGGCGGGGCGCACGUGCGUGUGUUUGUGUCGGAGCCGGACGGGCGGCCGCCCGCGGGGUCAUUCUCUCAACGUGUUGGGGACCCGGACCUGCAUUUUGCACCUCAACCCUGCACACGUCCUGGUAGCUCCACUUGAUCUGCAGAAACCACAACGAUGGAGAAACUAA
rnacentral:lncRNA from 1 species